GCAAGACAACGUGUUUCAAUUGGUUAAAAAGAAGGGGAAAGGAAAAUUACCGUCGGUUUUUUAUAUCUAACAAAAAGCCCUACUUCCAUCGUCAAAGGAUGUACGGCCAAGACAGACGCGAAGCUGCUCCGCCUUCUUAUGGUGGUGGAUAUGAUAGUUCUGGAGGCUCUAGUGGAGGUCACGGGGGCCGUGGAGGCGGCAGAGGAGGCGGCAGAGGAGGAGGUGGAGGAUAUAGCGGUGGUACUCAAAAUCGAGGAGGCGGAGGAGGCUAUCAAGGAGAGCGCGGUGGAAGAGGCGGUAGCCGUGGUGGAGGCGGACGAGAUGGUGAUUGGCUUUGCCCUAACCCCAGCUGUGGGAAUUUGAACUUUGCAAGUAGAGUUGAAUGUAACAAAUGUGGUGCACCCUCUCCUGCGGCUUCUGAUGAACGUGGUAGUGGUAGUACUAGUGGUGGUCAUAGCAGAGGUGGUGGUGGGGGAUAUGGUGGUAAUCAUGGAGGUAGAGAUGGGGAUAGAGGUGGUUAUAAUAGUGGGAGGAGUAACAACUAUAAUGGAGGCAGAGGUGGGAAUUAUGAUAAUAGAAGUGGUGGUAGUAGACGUGGUUCUUAUGGGGGUAGUCAAGGAGGGGAAGACGGUGGCUAUGGUAAAGUUCCUCCUCCAGCGCCCAGUUCUUAUGGUGGAAACUAUCCACCUGCUCCUAAUGCAUAUGGUGGAAAUGCAAAUUAUGGAAUGGAAGCUGUUCCUUCACCUACAGGCUAUACUGGUGGACCCACAUCAUACCCUCCAUCUUAUGGUGGCCCUGCAGGUGGUGAGGGUUUGAGUGAUGUGAGGACUGGUGGUCGAGGGGGAGCACCUGGUGGAUAUGAUGGUGGGUAUGGGUCUGGUGGUCCUCGAAAUCGAGGAGGUGGUCAUGGUGGCCCUCCUGUUGACACAUCAGUUAAGAUCAAGCAAUGUGACGGCAACUGUGGUGAUUCUUGUGACAACUCAAGAAUAUACAUAUCAAAUUUGCCACCUGAUGUUACUAUUGAAGAAUUAAAAGACCUUUUUGGUGGCAUUGGACAAGUUGGAAGAAUUAAGCAGAAGCGUGGCUAUAAAGAUCAAUGGCCCUGGAAUAUUAAAAUAUACACAGAUGAGAAAGGAAACCAGAAAGGCGAUGCAGUUUUGUCUUAUGAAGAUCCUCAGGCUGCUCACUCUGCUGGCAGUUUCUUUAACAAUCAUGUCAUGAGAAGCUAUACAAUCAGUGUGGCUAUGGCAGAGAAGACUGCACCCAAAGUAUAUGAUCAUGGAGGUGGUAGAGGUGGCUACGGAGGUGGUGGCAACAGGCGCAAGGAUAGUUACAGAGAUGGAGGUUCUGGACCAGACAGGCACAACCAUGGUGGAAACCGUUUGCAUCCGUAUUGAAGGAUAUCGAGCUUCAAGUAUUUUAUGUACUAAGAAUUGUGGUCUAAGGGUUCUAGUUGUGUUGCAUUGACUGGAUUAUUCUUGAACAGGAGACUAAGAGAGGCAAGUGGAUUAACUCCAAAUUGCUUGCUGCUAAGGUAGGUUGAUAAUUUCAGGUGAGUCCUGCUCUUCUAAAUAACACAUUUACCCUUUUGUUUGGUUAACCCUUAGUGGUGGAUUCGAUUUUAUUCUCUCCGCUCAUUAUUCAACAUGGUGGAACAAACUCGUGAUUUAUAUGCAUGGGCAUCUUUUAUAUUGAAGUGCGAUUUGAUUAAAGAUUAUGGAAUUUAGCAUCCCAUGCUGGAAUGUAGGUGCUGUUUAGUGACGAUCUCAAGCUAAUUAAUCUGGUGGACAAUAUGUUCUAAACUAUGUUAUAACAUUAUGGCUGGAUUUAGUGUCGGUAAAUUAGUUUUUCAGGGGGUGAUGUGGGGGUCGUGUUGCAAAUAAAAAAAAAAUGGUUGGGCACAAUGAGUGGUUGAAGUGGCAUUGGAUGAUUGAAUAAGCACUUGGUGGUGGCGGCAGUCGUAUUCUUGGGCGUGUGAAAUGCAGGACAACUGCUGGAGGGUUGUUGUAGCAUCGAUCUAAGGAUUCAAGCACCUUGUGAUGCUGCAUGUUGAACCUUUCUCUGACGUGUAAGGUGGUGAAUGUAGCAAUGAACUUGUGUCGUCUGAUAAUUGUAGUGCCGAUGGUUUCUGUCAUGAAGUUUAUCUUUAGUAUAUAUACGCCAUCGUUUUGUUAAGUAGAAUGUUGUCAAUUGAAUUGCUGCCGCUGUUUAAAUAAUAGAGGCAAAGGUGCUGGAAAUGCACUAAUUAAAUAUAUCGUCCGAUUGGGCAAAUAUAUGAAUCUGUCGA